AUUGAACGCUGGCGGCAGGCUUAACACAUGCAAGUCGAGCGGGGGAAGGUAGCUUGCUACCGGACCUAGCGGCGGACGGGUGAGUAAUGCUUAGGAAUCUGCCUAUUAGUGGGGGACAACAUCUCGAAAGGGAUGCUAAUACCGCAUACGUCCUACGGGAGAAAGCAGGGGAUCUUCGGACCUUGCGCUAAUAGAUGAGCCUAAGUCAGAUUAGCUAGUUGGUGGGGUAAAGGCCUACCAAGGCGACGAUCUGUAGCGGGUCUGAGAGGAUGAUCCGCCACACUGGGGCUGAGACACGGCCCAGACUCCUACGGGAGGCAGCAGUGGGGAAUAUUGGACAAUGGGGGGAACCCUGAUCCAGCCAUGCCGCGUGUGUGAAGAAGGCCUUAUGGUUGUAAAGCACUUUAAGCGAGGAGGAGGCUACUUUAGUUAAUACCUAGAGAUAGUGGACGCUACUCGCAGAAUAAGCACCGGCUAACUCUGUGCCAGCAGCCGCAGUAA
rnacentral:rRNA from 1 species